rnacentral:rRNA from 1 species
GCGAACGGGGAGCAGCCCAGAGCCUGAAUCAGUGUGUGUGUUAGUGGAAGCGUCUGGAAAGGCGCGCGAUACAGGGUGACAGCCCCGUACACAAAAAUGCACAUGCUGUGAGCUCGAUGAGUAGGGCGGGACACGUGGUAUCCUGUCUGAAUAUGGGGGGACCAUCCUCCAAGGCUAAAUACUCCUGACUGACCGAUAGUGAACCAGUACCGUGAGGGAAAGGCGAAAAGAACCCCGGCGAGGGGAGUGAAAAAGAACCUGAAACCGUGUACGUACAAGCAGUGGGAGCCUCUUUUAUGGGGUGACUGCGUACCUUUUGUAUAAUGGGUCAGCGACUUAUAUUCUGUAGCAAGGUUAACCGAAUAGGGGAGCCGAAGGGAAACCGAGUCUUAACUGGGCGUUAAGUUGCAGGGUAUAGACCCGAAACCCGGUGAUCUAGCCAUGGGCAGGUUGAAGGUUGGGUAACACUAACUGGAGGACCGAACCGACUAAUGUUGAAAAAUUAGCGGAUGACUUGUGGCUGGGGGUGAAAGGCCAAUCAAACCGGGAGAUAGCUGGUUCUCCCCGAAAGCUAUUUAGGUAGCGCCUCGUGAAUUCAUCUCCGGGGGUAGAGCACUGUUUCGGCAAGGGGGUCAUCCCGACUUACCAACCCGAUGCAAACUGCGAAUACCGGAGAAUGUUAUCACGGGAGACACACGGCGGGUGCUAACGUCCGUCGUGAAGAGGGAAACAACCCAGACCGCCAGCUAAGGUCCCAAAGUCAUGGUUAAGUGGGAAACGAUGUGGGAAGGCCCAGACAGCCAGGAUGUUGGCUUAGAAGCAGCCAUCAUUUAAAGAAAGCGUAAUAGCUCACUGGUCGAGUCGGCCUGCGCGGAAGAUGUAACGGGGCUAAACCAUGCAC